rnacentral:rRNA from 1 species
GGGUUGUGAGGUUAAGCGACUAAGCGUACACGGUGGAUGCCCUGGCAGUCAGAGGCGAUGAAGGACGUGCUAAUCUGCGAUAAGCGUCGGUAAGGUGAUAUGAACCGUUAUAACCGGCGAUUUCCGAAUGGGGAAACCCAGUGUGAUUCGUCACACUAUCAUUAACUGAAUCCAUAGGUUAAUGAGGCGAACCGGGGGAACUGAAACAUCUAAGUACCCCGAGGAAAAGAAAUCAACCGAGAUUCCCCCAGUAGCGGCGAGCGAACGGGGAGGAGCCCAGAGCCUGAAUCAGUGUGUGUGUUAGUGGAAGCGUCUGGAAAGGCGCGCGAUACAGGGUGACAGCCCCGUACACAAAAAUGCACAUGCUGUGAGCUCGAUGAGUAGGGCGGGACACGUGGUAUCCUGUCUGAAUAUGGGGGGACCAUCCUCCAAGGCUAAAUACUCCUGACUGACCGAUAGUGAACCAGUACCGUGAGGGAAAGGCGAAAAGAACCCCGGCGAGGGGAGUGAAAAAGAACCUGAAACCGUGUACGUACAAGCAGUGGGAGCACGCUUAGGCGUGUGACUGCGUACCUUUUGUAUAAUGGGUCAGCGACUUAUAUUCUGUAGCAAGGUUAACCGAAUAGGGGAGCCGAAGGGAAACCGAGUCUUAACUGGGCGUUAAGUUGCAGGGUAUAGACCCGAAACCCGGUGAUCUAGCCAUGGGCAGGUUGAAGGUUGGGUAACACUAACUGGAGGACCGAACCGACUAAUGUUGAAAAAUUAGCGGAUGACUUGUGGCUGGGGGUGAAAGGCCAAUCAAACCGGGAGAUAGCUGGUUCUCCCCGAAAGCUAUUUAGGUAGCGCCUCGUGAAUUCAUCUCCGGGGGUAGAGCACUGUUUCGGCAAGGGGGUCAUCCCGACUUACCAACCCGAUGCAAACUGCGAAUACCGGAGAAUGUUAUCACGGGAGACACACGGCGGGUGCUAACGUCCGUCGUGAAGAGGGAAACAACCCAGACCGCCAGCUAAGGUCCCAAAGUCAUGGUUAAGUGGGAAACGAUGUGGGAAGGCCCAGACAGCCAGGAUGUUGGCUUAGAAGCAGCCAUCAUUUAAAGAAAGCGUAAUAGCUCACUGGUCGAGUCGGCCUGCGCGGAAGAUGUAACGGGGCUAAACCAUGCACCGAAGCUGCGGCAGCGACGCUGAUGCGUUGUUGGGUAGGGGAGCGUUCUGUAAGCCUGUGAAGGUGUGCUGUGAGGCAUGCUGGAGGUAUCAGAAGUGCGAAUGCUGACAUAAGUAACGAUAAAGCGGGUGAAAAGCCCGCUCGCCGGAAGACCAAGGGUUCCUGUCCAACGUUAAUCGGGGCAGGGUGAGUCGACCCCUAAGACGAGGCCGAAAGGCGUAGUCGAUGGGAAACAGGUUAAUAUUCCUGUACUUGGUGUUACUGCGAAGGGGGGACGGAGAAGGCUAUGUUGGCCGGGCGACGGUUGUCCCGGUUUAAGCGUGUAGGCUGGUUUUCCAGGCAAAUCCGGAAAACUAAGGCUGAGGCGUGAUGACGAGGCACUACGGUGCUGAAGCAACAAAUGCCCUGCUUCCAGGAAAAGCCUCUAAGCAUCAGGUAACAUCAAAUCGUACCCCAAACCGACACAGGUGGUCAGGUAGAGAAUACCAAGGCGCUUGAGAGAACUCGGGUGAAGGAACUAGGCAAAAUGGUGCCGUAACUUCGGGAGAAGGCACGCUGAUAUGUAGGUGAAGUCCCUCGCGGAUGGAGCUGAAAUCAGUCGAAGAUACCAGCUGGCUGCAACUGUUUAUUAAAAACACAGCACUGUGCAAACACGAAAGUGGACGUAUACGGUGUGACGCCUGCCCGGUGCCGGAAGGUUAAUUGAUGGGGUCAGCGCAAGCGAAGCUCUUGAUCGAAGCCCCGGUAAACGGCGGCCGUAACUAUAACGGUCCUAAGGUAGCGAAAUUCCUUGUCGGGUAAGUUCCGACCUGCACGAAUGGCGUAAUGAUGGCCAGGCUGUCUCCACCCGAGACUCAGUGAAAUUGAACUCGCUGUGAAGAUGCAGUGUACCCGCGGCAAGACGGAAAGACCCCGUGAACCUUUACUAUAGCUUGACACUGAACAUUGAGCCUUGAUGUGUAGGAUAGGUGGGAGGCUUUGAAGUGUGGACGCCAGUCUGCAUGGAGCCGACCUUGAAAUACCACCCUUUAAUGUUUGAUGUUCUAACGUUGACCCGUAAUCCGGGUUGCGGACAGUGUCUGGUGGGUAGUUUGACUGGGGCGGUCUCCUCCUAAAGAGUAACGGAGGAGCACGAAGGUUGGCUAAUCCUGGUCGGACAUCAGGAGGUUAGUGCAAUGGCAUAAGCCAGCUUGACUGCGAGCGUGACGGCGCGAGCAGGUGCGAAAGCAGGUCAUAGUGAUCCGGUGGUUCUGAAUGGAAGGGCCAUCGCUCAACGGAUAAAAGGUACUCCGGGGAUAACAGGCUGAUACCGCCCAAGAGUUCAUAUCGACGGCGGUGUUUGGCACCUCGAUGUCGGCUCAUCACAUCCUGGGGCUGAAGUAGGUCCCAAGGGUAUGGCUGUUCGCCAUUUAAAGUGGUACGCGAGCUGGGUUUAGAACGUCGUGAGACAGUUCGGUCCCUAUCUGCCGUGGGCGCUGGAGAACUGAGGGGGGCUGCUCCUAGUACGAGAGGACCGGAGUGGACGCAUCACUGGUGUUCGGGUUGUCAUGCCAAUGGCACUGCCCGGUAGCUAAAUGCGGAAGAGAUAAGUGCUGAAAGCAUCUAAGCACGAAACUUGCCCCGAGAUGAGUUCUCCCUGACUCCUUGAGAGUCCUGAAGGAACGUUGAAGACGACGACGUUGAUAGGCCGGGUGUGUAAGCGCAGCGAUGCGUUGAGCUAACCGGUACUAAUGAACCGUGAGGCUUAACCUUACAACGCCGAAGCUGUU